UACAGAGGGUGCGAGCGUUGUCCGGAAUCACUGGGCGUAAAGGGCGCGUAGGCGGACUCUUAAGUCGGGGGUGAAAGCCCAGGGCUCAACCCUGGAAUUGCCUUCGAUACUGAGAGUCUUGAGUUCGGAAGAGGUUGGUGGAACUGCGAGUGUAGAGGUGAAAUUCGUAGAUAUUCGCAAGAACACCAGUGGCGAAGGCGGCCAACUGGUCCGAUACUGACGCUGAGGCGCGAAAGCGUGGGGAGCAAACAGG
rnacentral:rRNA from 1 species